rnacentral:rRNA from 1 species
AGAGUUUGAUCCUGGCUCAGAUUGAACGCUGAGGCUUAACACAUGCAAGUCGAACGGCAGCGCGGACUUCGGUCUGGCGGCGAGUGGCGAACGGGUGAGUAAUGUAUCGGAACGUACCUUUCAGUGGGGGAUACCGUAGCGAAAGUUACGCUAAUACCGCAUAUUCUGUGAGCAGGAAAGCAGGGGAUCGCAAGACCUUGCGCUGAUUGAGCGGCCGAUAUCAGAUUAGCUAGUUGGUGAGGUAAAGGCUCACCAAGGCGACGAUCUGUAGCGGGUCUGAGAGGAUGAUCCGCCACACUGGAACUGAGACACGGUCCAGACUCCUACGGGAGGCAGCAGUGGGGAAUUUUGGACAAUGGGGGCAACCCUGAUCCAGCCAUGCCGCGUGAGUGAAGAAGGCCUUCGGGUUGUAAAGCUCUUUCGGCCGGGAAGAAAUCGUACGGGUUAAUACCCUGUGCGGAUGACGGUACCGGCAUAAGAAGCACCGGCUAACUACGUGCCAGCAGCCGCGGUAAUACGUAGGGUGCGAGCGUUAAUCGGAAUUACUGGGCGUAAAGCGUGCGCAGGCGGUUUUGUAAGACAGGCGUGAAAUCCCCGGGCUCAACCUGGGAACUGCGCUUGUGACUGCAAGGCUAGAGUAUGGCAGAGGGGGGUGGAAUUCCACGUGUAGCAGUGAAAUGCGUAGAGAUGUGGAGGAACACCAAUGGCGAAGGCAGCCCCCUGGGCCAAUACUGACGCUCAUGCACGAAAGCGUGGGUAGCACACAGGAUUAGAUACCCUGGUAGUCCACGCCCUAAACGAUGUCAACUAGGUGUUGGGUGGGUAAAACCAUUUAGUACCGUAGCUAACGCGUGAAGUUGACCGCCUGGGGGAGUACGGCCGCAAGGUUAAAACUCAAAGGAAUUGACGGGGACCCGCACAAGCGGUGGAUGAUGUGGAUUAAUUCGAUGCAACGCGAAAA